rnacentral:rRNA from 1 species
UACAGAGGUCUCAAGCGUUGUUCGGAUUCAUUGGGCGUAAAGGGUGCGUAGGCGGCGCGUUAAGUCGGGUGUGAAAUCUCGGAGCUUAACUCCGAAACUGCAUUCGAUACUGCCGUGCUUGAGGACUGGAGAGGAGACUGGAAUUUACGGUGUAGCGGUGAAAUGCGUAGAUAUCGUAAGGAAGACCAGUGGCGAAGGCGGGUCUCUGGACAGUUCCUGACGCUGAGGCACGAAGGUCAGGGGAGCAAACGGG